CACCACCAUCACCACCACCACAACCACCACCUCCUCCAAAAUCUCCACAACCAACAUCACCAUGCGGCCACUGCCAACAUCACCACUGCCACCACCUCCACAACAACCAUCCCCACCACCACCACAACCACAACCACCAACUCCACCACUUGCACCACCACAUUCACUACCUCCACAACCACCGCCACCACCACCACAUCCUCCUCCUCCUCCUCCUCCUCCGCAUCACCACCACAACCACCACCAUCACCACCACCACCACAACCACCUCCUCCAAAAUCUCCACAACCAACAUCACCACCACUACCAUGCGGCCACUGCCAACACCACC
rnacentral:lncRNA from 1 species